UACAGAGACUGCAAGCGUUGUUCGGAUUCAUUGGGCGUAAAGGGUCCGUAGGCGGUCGGCUAAGUCGGAUGUGAAAUCUCGUGGCCUAACCACGAGCGGUCAUUCGAAACUAGUCGGCUAGAGGGCUGGAGAGGAGACUGGAAUUGUCGGUGUAGCGGUGAAAUGCGUAGAGAUCGACAAGAACACCGGUGGCGAAGGCGGGUCUCUGGACAGUUCCUGACGCUGAGGGACGAAAGCUAGGGGAGCAAACGGG
rnacentral:rRNA from 1 species